rnacentral:misc_RNA from 1 species
AACUUUUGGCAACGGAUCUCUUGGCUCUUGCAACGAUGAAGAACGCAGUGAAAUGCGAAAAGUAAUGCGAUUUGCAUGAAUCUGUGAGUCAUCAAGUCUUUGAACGCACCUUGCACCGUAUGAGCAAUCGUACGGUAUACCUGUUUGAGAAUCGUAAAAUCCUCUCUCCACCAGUUGGUGGGGAUGGACUUGUCGGUUGUGCGAGUCUUGUGCUCGUACUCUGAUCAAAAGUAUUAGGUUUGGAUCAGGCUAGUGGCCUGGGACAUUGUGUGCUAGAGACGUCGCUUCGUGCUGACUGUCUUCUCACAAUGCGUCCUGGGCCCUUUGACAGCUAGCUCUGAUUGGCAACCUCUUCAGUGAACUGGAUGCAAACCCGGGACACAACCCCACUUUUUGAUCUCAAAUCAGGUAAGGCUACCCGCUGAACUUAAGCAUAUCAAUAAGCGGAGGCU